rnacentral:rRNA from 1 species
CCCUUAGAUGUUCUGGGCCGCACACGCGCUACACUGAAGGAGGCAGCGUGUACUCCUGGAUCGAAAGAUUUGGGUAACCCGCGAAUCUCCUUCGUGCUAGGGAUUGAGGUUUGCAAUUAUCCUUCAUGAACGAGGAAUUCCCAGUAAGUGCGAGUCAUAAGCUUGCGCUGACUACGUCCCUGCCCUUUGUACACACCGCCCGUCGCUACUACCGAUUGAAUGAUUUAGUGAGGACUUCGGACUGGGACCGAUGCGGCUUUCGGGCUGCGUCGGUAUUCUGGAAAGAUGUCCAAACUGUAUCAUUUAGAGGAAGUAAAANUCGUANCA